AUUGAACGCUGGCGGCAGGCUUAACACAUGCAAGUCGAGCGGAGUUGUGGUGCUUGCACCAUAACUUAGCGGCGGACGGGUGAGUAAUGCUUAGGAAUCUGCCUAUUAGUGGGGGACAACAUCUCGAAAGGGAUGCUAAUACCGCAUACGUCCUACGGGAGAAAGCAGGGGACCUUUGGGCCUUGCGCUAAUAGAUGAGCCUAAGUCGGAUUAGCUAGUUGGUGGGGUAAAGGCCUACCAAGGCGACGAUCUGUAGCGGGUCUGAGAGGAUGAUCCGCCACACUGGGACUGAGACACGGCCCAGACUCCUACGGGAGGCAGCAGUGGGGAAUAUUGGACAAUGGGGGGAACCCUGAUCCAGCCAUGCCGCGUGUGUGAAGAAGGCCUUUUGGUUGUAAAGCACUUUAAGCGAGGAGGAGGCUACUGGUAUCAAUACUACCGGAUAGUGGACGUUACUCGCAGAAUAAGCACCGGCUAACUCUGUGCCAGCAGCCGCAGUAACAC
rnacentral:rRNA from 1 species